UACAGAGGUCCCGAGCGUUGUUCGGAUUCAUUGGGCGUAAAGGGUGCGUAGGCGGCGCGGUAAGUCGGGUGUGAAAUCUCGGAGCUUAACUCCGAAACUGCAUUCGAUACUGCCGUGCUUGAGGACUGGAGAGGAGACUGGAAUUUACGGUGUAGCGGUGAAAUGCGUAGAUAUCGUAAGGAAGACCAGUGGCGAAGGCGGGUCUCUGGACAGUUCCUGACGCUGAGGCACGAAGGUCAGGGAAGCAAACGGG
rnacentral:rRNA from 1 species